rnacentral:sRNA from 1 species
ACCUGAAAUUUCGGUUUGAAGGGUGGGGCAGCCUA